rnacentral:siRNA from 1 species
AAUGGUGUUAGUGAAGACGGAUUC